UUCCCAUAUUAUCACUCACUGUUAUCUUACCUUUAAUAUUGUUCUUAUUCGAUUCUACCAUCUUUCCUAUUCACACCUAUUUACUUAUCUUGGUUAAGUUAGAGCGUAGAUCAGUUCUCCCGUUUCCCUGUGGAUACGAUAAAACCUUUAACCGGGUAAAAGCUUCAACGGUAUCCGUGCGCUUGCGGAUUAUCUGUGUGCGUAUAAAUACCAUAGUACACUCUAGUGCCACGCUGGGGAUGACAACCUAGUAUUCAAGUGGUGUUAGCAAGUGUCAACAGUAACCGUCACUUCUGUCUUGAGUGGUUAAAAGAUAGAACAGUCCAGUCAAGUGCCAUGUCGCUUAUUCUUGAUCAGCUAUAGCUCUGGAGUUUUUGCAGAUUUUCAAAUAAAACUCAGAGAUUCCUUUGUAUGACUCUCUCAUAUCUCUCUUUUGUGGUAUUUCUGGAUCCUUACCAAGGCAGUGAUGGUAUAUGCCUUCUCUCAAAAUAUGUGGUAUUUGUGGUAUAAGGGAUAGUGACAUUGUCUUCUCUCUCACCCUACUCUAAUAAGGCUUUAAUAUCUGGAGCUCAUAGGUGGGAGAUAAAAUAUACAUACUUACAAGACAUUUAUUGUAUAGUCAAACCAUGGAUCCAAAGAAACAAAUCAAUAAGCCAAAUCAAGAUGUGCAUGUGUGGCGAAUGAAUAGUGUAUGGUGAUGAUGGUGAUAACAAUGGUGAAAGUCUAAUUCUACUUUUGCUCUUUCGAGGGGAUACAUACCUUCCUUGCUUUUUGAAACUUUAUGAGGAGAAUGAGAUGCUCUUCUUUUUAUUUUCUCUCAGAUGGGUAUCCUGUACCCCUAAUUCUACUGUCGAACACUUGUCCAUUUUUACCUCUCGUCUCACUCUUUUUCUUUUCUUUCGAGGUUCCGCGCACUUGCCCAUUUUUAUUUCCUCGUUUAUUAUUUUUUUCUUUUCUCUUUUUUUUUCUUCUCUUUUUUUUCAGAGCACUCAUCUCUUAAGAUAAUAUAGCAAGUGGUAGUAGCAAGAUAACUUAAGCAUUUAUUUCACAAGGGAAAAACACAGAUGUUUUUGGCUAUUCUCUCCCGAAUUAGGAGUAGAAUAUUUUUAGGUGAUUCUGGAGAUGGAAAUGGAUGGAUAUAUGUGGAUGGUACUUCCGGAGUAGAAGUAGCAUAUAUAUGAGUGAACGUGCAAGUGAAUCUUGAUUUAACCACAUGACAAGCUCCUAAGGGUCUACACAGCUUGACCACACUCAAUGCUCAUAAGCAGUAAAUAAUAAAUGUGUGGCUCCAAGUCUAGCAAGCAUGUAUAUAUGGCUGUGGUAGGAAUUUAAACUUUCAUCAUACAGGAACUCAUCAUGCAACAUUUUAAAGAUUUUUCAAAGAUAAAAUUCUCCAGAAUUCUAGCAUCUCUAGGAAUAGAUAAACAGCAGCUCAACCUUCCCAUAUCAUAUCCGUUAACAACUUAGAUUUCAGAUCAAGUUUUCAUCCCACAAGUUUAGAUCUAGAGCAAGCUUUAAAUUAUAACAGUUAUGUCUAAACUUGAGAGAGAACUUUAAAUUUGCAAAUUAGGCAGAGCAACUAUUCAUCAUAUCCAUGCUAGAGUUUUAUUAUUAAGAUUCAGAUUAGCAUAGCCACUUUAUUUAUUUAUUAAACACACUAAGCAAAAGAUAUAUAUAUAAGCACAAAAUCUUUAUUUGGUUUUUCAUAGUUUAUGUAUUUUAAUAUUCUAAUAUAAUAUAAGUAUCAAGAUAGGUAGAAAUACUUAGCGAGAUAAAUGGGGGUGCUCUCCCCCAAGCUGAAUUUUGACGUAAUUUCUCUUGAUGUAGCUAGCAGGUGGCAGAGGUGUAUUUGAAAGUCAGCAGCAUUCUGACAGUGAUUAGAAUGUCCUCCGUCUGCUAGUCUUCUUGAUUCUUAAAUUCUGUGGAGCUCAAAUAGACAACAAAGCUUGUGGAACUAAUUAAGUGUUAGCAUAAAUAUCUAGCCUUCAUCACGUUGAGCUUCCUCAAUAAAUAUUACUCCCUGUUUUUAUAUUUUUAUUUUAUAAAGUAGAAAAGAAAUAUUUAUUUUAUUUUUUAUUCCACCACAGUGAAGGUACUUAUGGGUUUUAUGCCACUCGUAUACUCACAUGGGGCUUAGUAUUUUUAAUAUUUUUAUUUUCUUUUCAAGAUAGCAUGAUUAACUAAUAAGCUAUUUAAGGAAAGUAAGUAAUUAAAGGGAAAAGGAAAUGCAGAAUGGAUAAAUAUGGAUAACUACCGACUUUACCUUUCGGCGAGGGUUCAAUGUUUUAAGUCUUCUGAACAAGACUUCUCACCGUGUUCAUUCUUCAGGUGCGUCAUUUGAUUCAGGUGCGGACCUUGACGUCUGCACCUCUUCGUUUGCCCAGCAGUGGCGUUGGCAGUAUCCUGCUCAGUGUGUUUGUGCUCGUAGAUCUAGGUCCUUCACUUGGUAGAGUCUGAGAGUUAUAAAACUCCUCCGUGUUUUGCUCGAAGUGUACCUGCUCAUAGAGACAAGGCAGAGAUCAAGUGCAUGGGUCCUGUUGGUGGAAAACACCAACAGAACCUAAAGUGUAUUUGUUCUUCUCUAACCCUAAGCAUAGUGAGCAAGACAAAGUUGAUGGAUGAAAAGUUCAUGAGUGUAGCAUUUAAAACAUUUGUUAGAUCAGAUCGCUCAACCAUAUGGAAAGAUAAUCUAUCUAUGUAUAAUGCUUUUUCUUUAUAUCUUCUCAAAGAUUGAAUGUGUAACAUUAUAGCUCAUAUGAUUAGGAGUGUGGGAUC
rnacentral:lncRNA from 1 species